UUUCAGUCGACUCGUGAGCGUCGUUCCGAACGUGCACCUGUUUCGAUUAUCUAGUUUACAUUAAAGCUUAUUUUCAUUCUCUCGCGUGACACUUUGAAAAAUCUGAUUUGUCGUUUGCCGAUAGAAGAGGAAGAAAGGAAGGAAACAUUUGAAAUACAUCGACGGGAGGAUAAAGGACGAAAAGGUUGGAGUUUAUAUUACCAAUUGAAGGAA